rnacentral:rRNA from 1 species
UGAAACAUCUAAGUACCUGGAGGAAGAGAAAGAAAAAUCGAUUUCCUGAGUAGCGGCGAGCGAAACGGAAAGAGCCCAAACCAAGAAGCUUGCUUCUUGGGGUUGUAGGACACUCUAUACGGAGUUACAAAAGAAAGUUAUAAAUGAAGCGGUCUGGAAAGGCCCGCCAAAGACGGUAACAGCCCGGUAGUUGAAAUGGCUUUCCCUCCAGAGUGGAUCCUGAGUACGGCGGAACACGUGAAAUUCCGUCGGAAUCCGGGAGGACCAUCUCCCAAGGCUAAAUACUCCCUAGUGACCGAUAGUGAACCAGUACCGUGAGGGAAAGGUGAAAAGCACCCCGGAAGGGGAGUGAAACAGUUCCUGAAACCGUGUGCCUACAAGUAGUUAGAGCCCGUUAAUGGGUGAUAGCGUGCCUUUUGUAGAAUGAACCGGCGAGUUACGAUUUGUUGCAAGGUUAAGCGGAAAAAGCGGAGCCGUAGCGAAAGCGAGUCUGAAUAGGGCGCAUAAGUAACAGGUCGUAGACCCGAAACCAGGUGAUCUACCCAUGUCCAGGAUGAAGGUAAGGUAAUACUUACUGGAGGUCCGAACCCACGCACGUUGAAAAGUGCGGGGAUGAGGUGUGGGUAGCGGAGAAAUUCCAAUCGAACUUGGAGAUAGCUGGUUCUCUCCGAAAUAGCUUUAGGGCUAGCCUCGAGGUAAAGAGUCAUGGAGGUAGAGCACUGUUUGGACUAGGGGCCCUUCUCGGGUUACCGAAUUCAGAUAAACUCCGAAUGCCAUGUACUUAUACUCGGGAGUCAGACUGCGAGUGAUAAGAUCCGUAGUCGAAAGGGAAACAGCCCAGACCACCAGUUAAGGUCCCCAAAUAUAUGUUAAGUGGAAAAGGAUGUGGGGUUGCUUAGACAACCAGGAUGUUGGCUUAGAAGCAGCCACCAUUGAAAGAGUGCGUAAUAGCUCACUGGUCGAGUGACCCCGCGCCGAAAAUGUACCGGGGCUAAACAUAUUACCGAAACUGUGGAUGAACCUCUU